CAUUUUCUAGGUAUUAUUCCACUUCUUGACAAUUAUUCCAUUAGCCUUGAAAAUUGAAGAAUAUAUAGCAACAACAAACUCAACAUAAGUGUUGAGACUGAAAACGAUAAUUAGACAGAGCUAGAAAAAAACACAGAUAGCGCUACAUAAAAAUUUCCGACUUUUGAAAACUGGGCCAGAAUUCUAGUAGCGCAGUAAAUUGUUGUUUAUGUCACUUAUAAGUAGAUACGGUGAAUAUGCAAAAUAUUAAGUGUUAAAUAUUCAAACAUUCAAUGCGCCAUGUAAGGUGUUUUAGCAAACAAAUUACGACGGGAAAAAAUUCCUGGUAAAUGGUUUUCUUCUGACAUCGUAAGUUUCAUACUACUUCACUUUGAAGAAGCGUAAAAUUAUUUGCUAAUGAUUCCUAUGAGAUACAUGCAUCCCCAUACACAGAAGGUAAUAUUGUAAAAGAAGUACAGCGCCUCAUAUCACUUACAUGUGAUCCUCGGCAUAGCGAACAAAACGCAUGCAUUAUUUUUAUAAGUUGUGCUUUGAAAAGUUGAUUUGCUAAUUUUGUUGGUACUUGGUUGGGUCGAUUAACCUGCUGAAACAUGUUUUGUGUAAGUUUUGAGCUUGAUAACUUAGAGCUUCGCGCCUCGGGAGUGUCCAUUAAUAUACGAAAAGAAUUAUUUAAA
rnacentral:lncRNA from 1 species